CGUUCCAGCAUGUUAGCUCAGGGGAAGAGCGCCGGGCUCAUAACCCGGAGGUCCCUGGAUCGAAACCAGGACAUGCUAUG
rnacentral:tRNA from 1 species